rnacentral:rRNA from 1 species
UACGUAGGGUCCAAGCGUUGUCCGGAUUUAUUGGGCGUAAAGGGCGCGUAGGUGGCCACUUCAAGCGUGCGGUGAAAGUCGGGGGCUCAACCCCUGAUCGGCCGUGCGAACUGGGGGCUGGAGCACGUGUAGAGGCAGGCGGAAUUCCUGGUGUAGCGGUGGAAUGCGCAGAUAUCAGGAGGAACACCAAUAGCGAAGGCAGCUCGCUGGGACGUUACUGACACUGAGGCGCGAAAGCGUGGGGAGCGAACAGG